GAGUUUGAUCCUGCUCAGAUUGAACGCUGGCGGCAUGCCUUACACAUGCAAGUCGAACGGUAACGGGUCCUUCGGGAUGCCGACGAGUGGCGAACGGGUGAGUAAUAUAUCGGACGUGCCCAGUAGUGGGGAUAACUGCUCGAAAGAGCAGCUAAUACCGCAUACGACCUGAGGGUGAAAGGGGGGGAUCGCAAGACCUCUCGCUAUUGGAGCGGCCGAUAUCAGAUUAGCUAGUUGGUGGGGUAAAAGGCCUACCAAGGCAACGAUCUGUAGUUGGUCUGAGAGGACGACCAGCCACACUGGGACUGAGACACGGCCCAGACUCCUACGGAGGCAGCAGUGGGGAAUUUUGGACAAUGGGCGCAAGCCUGAU
rnacentral:rRNA from 1 species